UUUUUCGCACAGAUCUGUGCCCAGCACUCCCUUCAGCUCCGGUUGUAAGGUCGCAUUGCUGAGGCAGUUCGUUCGUCCUAUGGAGCCAUCAAAUACCCAUGAUGUCAAUUUCCGAUCGACAGAUCUCAGAUGAAUUGGUCUUCUAUGAAGCCUGAAUUCGUUGCUAACCGCUUCUUGAGUUCGGUGGAUGGGAGCACUGAAGACACCACAUUCCACCUCGAUACCGAUACUUUCCCUAAAAAGGAAACUAGCCCGUGAAAAGGCUGUGAGGUUAUGGAUACAGCCGUGGUGACUACAUAU
rnacentral:sRNA from 1 species